CUGGUUGAUCCUGCCGGAGGCCACUGCUAUUGGGAUCCGACUAAGCCAUGCGAGUCGAGAGGGUUCGGCCCUCGGCAGACUGCUCAGUAACACGUGGAUAACCUACCCUUAGGCGGAGGAUAAUCUCGGGAAACUGAGAAUAAUACUCCAUAGAUCUAGGAUGCUGGAAUGCAUCUAGAUUAAAAGCUCCGGCGCCUAAGGAUGGGUCUGCGGACUAUCAGGUUGUAGUCAGGGUAAAGACCUGACUAGCCUACGACGGAUAUGGGUUGUGAGAGCAACAGCCCAGAGACGAUAUCUGAGACACGAUAUCGGGCCCUACGGGGCGCAGCAGGCGCGAAAUCUUCACAAUGUGCGAGAGCACGAUGAGGGGAUCCCAAGUGCUGGCGCGUAAGUGUCAGCUGUUUCUUAGUCUAAAAAACUGAGAGAGUAAGGGCUGGGUAAGACGGGUGCCAGCCGCCGCGGUAAUACCUGCAGCUCAAGUGGUGACCACUAUUAUUGGGCCUAAAACGUCCGUAGCCUGUUUAGUAAAUGCUUGGGUAAAUUGUGUAGCUUAACUAUACAAAUACCGGGUAGACUGCUAAACUUGGGACCGGGAGAGGCUAGAGGUACUCCUAGGGUAGAGGUGAAAUUCUGUAAUCCUAGGGGGACCACCAGUGGCGAAGGCGUCUAGCUAGAACGGGUCUGACGGUGAGGGACGAAGCCCUGGGGCGCAAACCGGAUUAGAUACCCGGGUAGUCCAGGGUGUAAACGCUGCUUGCUUGAUGUUAGUUGGGCUCCGAGCCCAACUAGUGUCGGAGAGAAGUUGUUAAGCAAGCUGCCUGGGAAGUACGGUCGCAAGACUGAAACUUAAAGGAAUUGGCGGGGGAGCACAGCAACGGGUGGAGCGUGCGGUUUAAUUGGAUUCAACGCCGG
rnacentral:rRNA from 1 species